GACAAGGGGGAAUGGUUUUCAACUGAGACAGAGGUGGUUUAGGUUGGAUACUAGGAGGAAGUUUUUCCCCCAGAGGGUGAUGACACACUGGAACAGUGCAAUCCUGUGCACGCUCAGGUGUGUUUUGUAGUGAUUUCCCAAUCAAUCCUCACGGGGUUUCUUUGUUAGGACGGGAGUGAAGGGGAGCACUGUGAAGCUGUUUGCUUUCCUUGCUCUCUGCUGCAGGUUUGUGCUGGCAGCGGUGCAGUUGAUUUGCUUUUUCUUGGGAGGGUGGGAAGGAGCUUAGCAGGCCCGGUUCUUCUCAAACGAUUCUGAUCCUCCAGUGUCAGUACUGCAGGGAGUGCACGACCUGAAGGACUUGUGGGUUGUGAUGAAUUUGUAUCUCCACAGCUUCUAAUAUUUUGGAUUGUGUGUUCUAGGGCAAGCAAUUUUGGGGACGUGAUUUAUCAUCACCACAGCUAACACUGCGUGGGAAAUCUUGGCAUGCUUUGACUUGCCAGUGCUUUCCAUUGUCUCCACUUGCCUGUAGGCUCCUUGAAAUGUAUGCCUAAUGUGGAAAUAUUUUCUGCUUUCCUAGCUUUUGUGGUAUAAAGAAGCACAGAAAGGUGAUGGAACAGCUUGUUCUAGAUGCCAUGGCCAAGCAAUUGGAGAAGAAGAAGGUCAUCAGGAAUAGUCAGCAUGGAUUUACCAAGGGAAAAUUGUGCUUGACCAACCUCCUAGGCUUCUGUGAGGCAUCAGCAGCUGUAUAGAUGGCGGGAGAGCAAUGGAUGUCGUCUACGUUGACUUCAGCACUGCUUUUGAUGCAGUCUCCCACGACAUGCUGAUGGACAGAGCUGCCACUUCAAGUCCAGAUCUGAAAUGUUGGCAGAGUGACCUAACAGCGAUGACCCAGAAAAGGUGUUGAAAUUUGUUAUGAACUGUACAGUCCUCGAAUCCAGGAAAUUACAGUUCUGAAGCUGGAAAAAAGGCUGGAUGACAACCUGACAUACCUGAGAGAUGCCCUUCCUGAAUAUAGUUUUGAUAUGAAUAUGAAACCUGUGUCUCAUUUAAACCAUGAAGAAAUUCCUGUAAACAAGCUGCAGGUCAGAAUGAAACCUAAACCAUGGUCAAAACAGUGGGAGAGGCCAAAAUACAACAUAAAAGGAAUAAAGUUUGAGCUACCUGAGAAAACAAUGAAGGAAGCACAGAAAUGGAAGCAGCCCUGGAUGGAGUUCGAUAUGCUGCGAGAGUGCGAUGCUUCAAAAAUAGAGGAAAAAUAUGGAGGGAAGUGAGUGAAGAGCUCAACAAGUAACAGCUUUGAGUUCAACGUAAGAAUUGUCAGUUUUCAAGUUUUGUAUGCAGAUAAAAGACACAGUAAAAUUUCAGCAGUUCUUGUCUGAAUGUUUAACUGUCCGUUCCUGAAAACAAACGUUCCCUUUUCUGACCAGUGUUACAGUGUUUUCAGCCCUGCUUCUGCCUUCUCUUAUAAAUCACAGCUAAUAGAAAGGGUUUCUAAUUAAUGUGCUGUCACUUCCAAAUAGUUGUUUCUUCUGUCUGCCAGGCAGACAGCAGCCAAUUGUGAAAAUGCUUAAUACAACAGGUUCAGAAGGGGGCUAUGGCAGGGAAGCAGAUGUACAGAAGCCCAGCUGUACAAUCUGGGAGUAAGUGCUGCUUAGUUGUCCUGUAAAGACACUUCCAAAAUCACAUCUGAUAAAGCACCAAUAGUAAUCUGACAACAAAACAGUAAUACAAACAUUUUGAAACCAGCUUGAAAGAGUGAAGCCAGGUUGGCUGUUACUCAAAUCAGACUGCGUGAAUGGGUGUAAGGUUCACCACAGAGUGGCACAGUCGGUUCUCAAGAUACUCACUCAGCUGGGAUGGGGGUCCUGAGCUCCAGUAAAAAUUGCCUUCCCC